AUUGAACGCUGGCGGCAGGCCUAACACAUGCAAGUCGAGCGAGCGGCGGCCGGGUGAGUAAUGUAUGGGGACUGCCCGAUAUAGGGGGAUAACUACUGGAAACGGUGGCUAAUACCGCAUACUGUCCGCUAACCCAUAUGGGAUUAGCUAGUAGGUAAGGUAAUGGCUGACCUAGGCGACGAUCCCUAGCUGGUCUGAGAGGAUGAUCAGCCACACUGGAAGUGAGACACGGCCCAGACUCCUACGGAGGCAGCAGUGGGGAAUAUUGCACAAUGGGAGCAAGCCUGAUGCAGCCAUGCCGCGUGUAUGAAGAAGGCCCUAGGGUUGUAAAGUACUUUCAGUCGGGAGGCGUUACCGACAGAAGAAGCACCGGCUAACGCCGUGCCAGCCGCCGCGGUAAUUC
rnacentral:rRNA from 1 species